rnacentral:rRNA from 1 species
CACGCCGUAAACGAUGGGUACUAGGUGUAGGGGGUAUAGACUCCCCCUGUGCCGUCGCAAACGCAAUAAGUACCCCGCCUGGGGAGUACGGUCGCAAGACUAAAACUCAAAGGAAUUGACGGGGGCCCGCACAAGCAGCGGAGCAUGUGGUUUAAUUCGAGGCAACGCGAAGAACCUUACCUGGACUUGACAUCUCCUGAAUUACCCUUAAUCGGGGAAGCCCUUCGGGGCAGGAAGACAGGUGG